GGGGAUUUAGCUCAGUGGUAGAGCGCUUGCCUAGCAAGCGCAAGGCCCUGGGUUCAGUCCCCAGUUUCCA
rnacentral:tRNA from 1 species